rnacentral:rRNA from 1 species
GACGAACGCUGGCGGCGUGCUUAACACAUGCAAGUCGAACGGAAAGGCCCUGCUUUUGUGGGGUGCUCGAGUGGCGAACGGGUGAGUAACACGUGAGUAACCUGCCCUUGACUUUGGGAUAACUUCAGGAAACUGGGGCUAAUACCGGAUAGGAGCUCCUGCUGCAUGGUGGGGGUUGGAAAGUUUCGGCGGUUGGGGAUGGACUCGCGGCUUAUCAGCUUGUUGGUGGGGUAGUGGCUUACCAAGGCUUUGACGGGUAGCCGGCCUGAGAGGGUGACCGGCCACAUGGGGACUGAGAGACGGACCAGACUCCUACGGGAGGCAGCAGGGGGGAAUAUUGCACAAUGGGCGGAAGCCUGAUGCAGCAACGCCGCGUGCGGGAUGACGUCCUUCGGGUGGUAAACCGCUUUCGCCUGUGACGAAGCGUGAGUGACGGUAAUGGGUAAAGAAGCACCGGCUAACUACGUG